UUGUUUUUUCUCCUUCGUUUAGGGCUCUCCUAGCGGACAUCGAAGCCCACUAUCAGGACCCUUCACUGCCUUACCCCAAAGAAGAUAACACACUCUUAUACGAGAUCACAGCCUAUCUGGAGGCAGCUGGCAUUCACAACCCACUGAAUAAGAUAUACAUAACAACAAAGCGCUUACCCUAUUUCCCAGUUGUCAACUUUGUUUUUGAUCUCCCAGUUGCCAAAACUUCAGUACAACAAAAACCUAGGACAACUUGUAUGAAUGGAGUUGAAUAGGAAUCAGAGACACCACUAGGUAAGGUUUAGCUUCUGGUUUGGACACAGAUUACUUCUGUGAGUGAAUUUCACUUCACUUCAGGAGAGUUAUUCAGGUAAGUGUUGUUACCUGAUAGUUUUAUAGUUAAAUUGUCAAAGAGAUUGAAAAAGGGGGUAAAGAAGAUACCGUGGAACCGGGCUUUAUUGGAUGUAAAUACAAGUUUACAAUGUGCAGACAUGUACAGAUUAACUGAGGUACUACUGUGGGUGACAACAUAUAUAGUGGGUCAUUUUGGUUUUUUGUUUAUUAAGAUUCAUGUGAUUAUACUUCACAUAUUUAUUACAAGUUAUAAAAUUAGAAAAUUCCUUGGAAUUGUUAACUCUGGUUGAUUUUGGUAGAGGGGGCUGGACCAGGUGGCCUAAAGAACAAGGAGAGGGAAACCUUUAACUUUAUAAUAAAUACACUUUGGCAUCUU